rnacentral:rRNA from 1 species
UUAGAGUUUGAUCAUGGCUCAGAACGUACGCUGGCGGCACGCCUAACACAUGCAAGUCGAACGAAGUAGCAAUACUUAGUGGCAGACGGGUGAGUAACAUGUAGGUAUCUACCCUUUGGCCUGGAAUAACACGAGGAAACUUGUGCUAAUACUGGAUAAGUCUUUACGGAGAAAGCUUUAUGCACCAUUGGAUGAGCCUGCACUUGAUUAGUUUGUUGGUGGGGUAAUGGCCUACCAAGACUGUGAUCAAUAGCUGAUUUGAGAGGAUGAUCAGCCACAUUGGGACUGAGACACGGCCCAAACUCCUACGGGAGGCAGCAGUGGGGAAUCUUGCACAAUGGAGGAAACUCUGAUGCAGCGAUGCCGCGUGAGUGAAGAAGGCCUUUGGGUUGUAAAGCUCUUUCGUCGGGGAAGAAAAUGACUGUACCCGAAUAAGAAGGUCCGGCUAACUUCGUGCCAGCAGCCGCGGUAAUACGAAGGGACCUAGCGUAGUUCGGAAUUACUGGGCUUAAAGAGUUCGUAGGUGGUUGAAAAAGUCGGUGGUGAAAUCCCAGAGCUUAACUCUGGAACUGCCAUCAAAACUUUUUAGCUAGAGUGUGAUAGAGGAAAGCAGAAUUUCCAGUGUAGAGGUGAAAUUCGUAGAUAUUAGAAAGAAUACCAAUUGCGAAGGCAGCUUUCUGGAUCAUUACUGACACUGAGGAACGAAAGCAUGGGUAGCGAAGAGGAUUAGAUACCCUCGUAGUCCAUGCCGUAAACGAUGUGUGUUAGACGUUGGAAAUUUAUUUUCAGUGUCGCAGCGAAAGCGAUAAACACACCGCCUGGGGAGUACGACCGCAAGGUUAAAACUCAAAUGAAUUGACGGGGACCCGCACAAGUAGUGGAGCAUGUGGUUUAAUUCGAAGAUACGCGCAGAACCUUACCAACACUUGACAUGUUCGUCGCGACUUUAAGAGAUUAAAGUUUUCGGUUCGGCCGGACGAAACACAGGUGCUGCAUGGCUGUCGUCAGCUCGUGUCGUGAGAUGUUGGGUUAAGUCCCGCAACGAGCGCAACCCUCACUUUUAGUUGCCAUCAUUUAGUUGGGCACUCUGAAAGAACUGCCAGUGAUAAGCUGGAGGAAGGUGGGGAUGACGUCAAGUCCUCAUGGCCCUUACGUGUUGGGCUACACACGUGCUACAAUGGUAUCUACAACAGGAAGCAAGACGGCGACGUUAAGCAAAUCCUUAAAAGAUACCUCAGUUCGGAUUGCACUCUGCAACUCGAGUGCAUGAGGCUGGAAUUACUAGUAAUCGUGGAUCAGCGUGCCACGGUGAAUGCGUUCCCGGGUCUUGUA